rnacentral:rRNA from 2 species
CAACUUUCAACAAUGGAUCUCUUGGCUCUGGCAUCGAUGAAGAACGCAGCGAAACGCGAUAGGUAGUGUGAAUUGCAGAAUUCCGUGAAUCAUCGAAUCUUUGAACGCACAUUGCGCCCCUCGGUACUCCUUGGGGCAUGCCUGUUCGAGCGUCAUUU